rnacentral:rRNA from 1 species
AUUGAACGCUGGCGGCAUGCCUUACACAUGCAAGUCGAACGGUAACAGGUCUUCGGAUGCUGACGAGUGGCGAACGGGUGAGUAAUACAUCGGAACGUGCCUAGUAGUGGGGGAUAACUACUCGAAAGAGUGGCUAAUACCGCAUGAGAUCUACGGAUGAAAGCAGGGGAUCGCAAGACCUUGUGCUACUAGAGCGGCCGAUGGCAGAUUAGGUAGUUGGUGGGAUAAAAGCUUACCAAGCCGACGAUCUGUAGCUGGGCUGAGAGGACGAUCAGCAACAAUGGGAAUGAGACACGGCCCAGACUCCUACGGGAGGCAGCAGUAGGGAAUUUUGGACAAUGGGCGCAAGCCUGAUCCAGCAAUGCCGCGUGCAGGAUGAAGGCCUUCGGGUUGUAAACUGCUUUUGUACGGAACGAAAAGCCCUGGGUUAAUACCCUGGGGUCAUGACGGUACCGUAAGAAUAAGCACCGGCUAACUACGUGCCAGCCGCCGCCGUAAGAC